rnacentral:lncRNA from 1 species
AGGCCAUCCAGGUCUUUAUAUCUUUAAGACAUGCUUGUUACUGAUUUAAUUGGUGUUAAUGGUAAAAAUGUGUAUCAUCUGCAAAUGAUACAAAUCUAUGAAUAAUUGCUGUGUGUAAAGGAAACUCCUCAUUUACAUAAACAAACUGGAAUCUAUCAGAUAUGAUUCAAACCACUGCAGUGAAUUUCCUUUAAUAACUCUGGUGUGUUUUACUGUUUGUAGUAAAAUGUGGUGGUCUACACUGAGGUCUAACAGGACAAGCACAGGAAUAAGUCCUCUGUAACAGGUCAUAAGGAGAACAUUAGUAACCUUCACUACAUCUCAUGUUGUGCUUUGUUGUCCUCUCAGUCCCCUGGGUGGAGGUGGAUUCAGGGGUGGAGUCUGUCCAGCUGAUCUGCAAAAUCACAGUUUGUCUGCCUAAAGAUGCUAAAGUGGAGUGGAAGGACAGAAAAAACAGGAAGGUCCACGUGUAUGAGAACGGCUCUGACCAGCCUGAAGAAGAGGACGAUAAAUACAAGAACCGAACGAAGAUGAAGAGAAACUUACUGGAACCUGGAGACCUCAGUCUGACCCUGAAACACCCCACAGAUGGAGACAACUCCACCUACACCUGCACCGUCUACAGCAGGGAGGGAAACAUCCUGAUGGAGAAACAAGUGGAGCUGAAAGUCAGAGUCCCCCAGGUGGAGGUGGAUUCAGGGGUGGAGUCUGUCCAGCUGCCCUUCAACACCACACUUCACCUGCCUGAAGACGCUAAAGUGGAGUGGAGGAAUAAUUACAAUACAAAGGUCCACGUGUAUGAGAACGGCUCUGACCAGCCUGAAGAACAGAACAAGGUUUACAGAGACCGAACGAAGAUGAACGAAGACCUGCUGAAAACUGGAGACCUCAGUCUGACCCUGAAACACCCCACAGCAACAAAGACCUACACCUGCACCGUCUACAGCAGGGAGGGAAACAUCCUGCUGAAGAAACAAGUAAAGCUGGAAGUCAGAGGUCAGUGCUGUAGAUACAGGUCAAAGGUCAGGGGUCAUGUAAAUGGCCUGUAUUUAUAUAGCGCCUUUACUAGUCCCUAAGGACCCCAAAGCGCUUUACACAUUCAGUCAUCCACCCAUUCACACACACAUUCACACACUGGUGAUGGCAAGCUACAUUGUAGCCACAGCCACCCUGGGGCGCACUGACAGAGGCGAGGCUGCCGGACACUGGCGCCACCGGGCCCUCUGACCAGGCAACGAUCAGGCAACGGCUGAAGUGUCUUGCCCAAGUACACAACGACCGAGACUGUCGGAGUUGUUCUGAGAAGUCACAUGACUGUUUUUCUCAGCAGAGUCUGAUGGAUUUGAUGAGACCAUGAGAGCGGCUUCAGUUCCUCAUCAGAAAGAGUCUGACAGAAGCUCCUCCCUCUAUACCCCAGUAGACUUCUAUUAGACUGCUCCAGAUUCCUGAGAGUUCACACAGAAAACUUUACAAACAGCCAAAGAAAAACUAUUGAAAAGGCUUCAAGAUCACAAAGAGCUCUUUCACAGCACAUAUGAGCCAUUAAGAAGUGCACAUUUGUGUUUUCCAUAGUCCAUCAUCCAAUAAUAUCAAAGGACAAACUGUGAGGUAAAAAGCCUUCAGCUCUUUGUGAAUGAAGCAAAAAGACUUUGGUCCUGAGAGAUGGUUCAAAACACAAUUCAGACCUACCAAAGUAUUAUUGGUGCCAAACACAUGAAGCCUUCAACUUUGUAUUUGUCCAGUCAGUGUGGCAAUAGAAGUCACUGUGAGGAUUUUCAAUCUGCUAUCAAAGAGCAUCCAAAGUUUCAGCACUGCGCUCACAGCUUUGAGACGUCCAAUCAGCAACUGGUCCUGAUAACAUCUCCCCUCUCAUUCCACAUACAUGAAGACUGCUAGAAGCAGCUAUCAGCCACAUCAGGCUCACAUCAUGCUUGGUAUUAAACAUGCUGCAGUCUGCAGUAAACUCCCUGCCACAAAGCUUUGAGUGCUCUGAAAGGGAAUCUCCUCCAAAUCCACCUGUAACAAGGUCACCUGCAGAAAUAACUGUGUCCACGGGCAGAGUCACUAACACUCUGCACCAGAGCUAAACCUGCUUUGGAGCUAAAAAGCUGCUGUCAGGGUUUCCUGCAGAGGUUCACAGUAAAUGUGGAGACUGAAAGCUGUGGACAGUUUCUGUGGCUGGAUUAUUUCAUAUGUGUUUGUAGGAGUUUCACUUUCAAAGUUUGGAGUAAAGUGUUGAAAUAAAUCAUGUCUGUGACGCACACUUUACUGCAGAUUGUUCUCAAUGGAACACAAAAAGCAAUCAAAAUGUGAUUGAUCCUGAUGUGGUUGUGAUUGUUGCUUCUAGCAGUGUUCAUGUAUUUGCACAGAGAGGGGAGAUGUUAUCAGAGUGUGUAACUGAUCAGAUCUGAUGCUAAAUCAUGUUCAUGUACAGUCAGCUGAUCCUCACAGUUCACUUUGUAAUCAUGCAGCUCUCCUCUGAUCAAUCCUGAGCUCCACCUGAGUCUCAGUCCUCAGGACCUCACACAGUCCCAGCAGCUUCUAUCAGCAGAGUUCUCCCUGAUAUCACAAACAUAUUGAUCCUCCUUCAGCCUCCUCUCAUUGAUCUGAACUGUUUCCACAGAGAAACUCAUCAGUGAAACCUGAGCUUACUGUGGAUUAUUCUGGUUGCUCCAUCACUCUCUGCCUCACACUCCCUCAUCUGCUGCUUUCCUCUGAUUGGCUGCUCUGACAGAGUCAUGAUUGGCUGCAUGUUUGUAUAUAAAGCAGCACGUUGCUGGUAGAUCAGCCAUCAGCUCAUGUUUGUGACUGCAGCAUGGCACCAGUUUGCUCCUCGUGUUUCAGUCCCAGACUGACCUGCAGCUCUUUAGUAAAUUCAGACAGCAGCUUUUGAACUGUUAGUAAAUCUGACCAUGAAUCUCAUUAUGACACCUCUGACCACUCAUUCUGUCUUUAUUGGCUUUCAUACAUGAAACACGCUUAAAGUCACCAUUGAAUUUAAACUGGAUGAAAGCAGCUGUGAGUCACUGCAGCAGCUCUACACCUGUGCCAACAACCAACCAACACCUGGGUGGAGUCCCAGCUGAAGCUGAGAGAUACUCAGAGAUCAGAGACAGAAGCAGCUGUAUGUAAGCGUUCUACAGGACGGCUCACACAAACCUGAUGUUACUGAUGUCUCCUAGAUAGAUCUCAUGGACCAAAGGCUCUCUGUGUCAUCUUGGCUCCAGCUGAACUAAACUGAGAGUGAAUUUGGGCUUUUAGGGAGGGGUGAAAGCAGAGCGCUGUAAAGGAAAGGGCUGUGAUUGGUUCAUAACACGUCAAUGAGAAGAAAGGAAAGCUUCAGAGCAACAUGAAUGAAACAAAGUGUUUUGAUGACGACUGAAAGCCAAAACUGUGACUGAAAUCAGAAUCCAGUUCAUCUCCAGCCCUGUCAGCAGUUCCAGCUGUAGUGCUGUUACAAUAAUAGUCAUCACUUCUAGUUUCACAGCAGGAAACUGGGAACAUUCAGCGUCUCAAAGAUUGACCUGUUAGCACCUGCAGACAUUGUUGAGCUGGGUCUGCUGAUCUUGUGGAGGUCUUCAUUUCUCCACUAUUUGGAGAAGCUUCAGCAGGAUCCACAGUCAGAGUCAAAGUGGAGUUCUAGCAUGGACGUAACGCUUCAAGAAGCUUCAGACAGACAGUGUUCUCCAAAAGUUCUGCUCUAAAAGGAAACUUUGAGCUGGCUCUGUAAUUGUUGUAGUCAGAAGGAUGGAGGCUGGAUCUUUGAUGAGUGCUUGCACACAGGCUGUCUUUAAGUAUUCUGGGACACAGCCAGAG